rnacentral:rRNA from 1 species
AUGAACGUUUUAGCCUGGAACUAUCGAGGACUGGGGUUGGACUCGACAGUGGGCGAACUCCGUGACCUGAUUAGGUCCCACAACCCAGCGGUGGUGUUCUUAAGUGAGACGAAGAAGAAGGCAAGGGCUAUGGAAAAGUUGAAAUGGAGUUUGGGCUUCAGAUGUGGUGUUGCUGUUAACUGUCAAGGGCUAAGUGGUGGUUUAGCUUUGUGGUGGAGGGAUCAUCUU